AUAUUAUAGAAUGUUAUGAUAAAAUGUAGUGUUUUUAUCAGUUUAAUAUCUGAUAUGUGAGUCAUUGACCCCACUUGAUGUUAAUUUUAUUUUUUAUGAAAGAAAAUCCAUUAUCUUAAUUUGGUGAUGUGGUUUUUCAUGCAUUGCCUUGAAUUUCCAGUAUUGUUGUUACAACUAACUCACUCCUC